UAAAGCUCUGCAACUUACGCCUUUUCCCGACCAACCACCACUAGCUGGUCACACCAGCAGCAGCAGUCUUCAGCUGUUCAACAACAACAGCACGCGGCAGAAACUACAACAAAACAUUAAGAUUGUAAUCAAGCUGUUAACGGUUAUUAGUGAGCUACCAAAAACCAAUUACCACAGUUCCAAUGCGCCCAACGAACGAAACUGAAAUAUCUUCGAAUCGAAAAUGUGAGAUAAGAUAUGAGUUUACAAGAUUGAGUCUUUUGGACCCCGCGACAUGAACUCAUUAGUCAGCUUGUCGAAGAUUCCAAGAAACUUUUGACUAAUUUCCGAAAUCUCGUUCAUAUUCCGUCAUAUCCAAAACUACAUACAUUUAUCACAUCAUGCUGUUAGUUAGCCAUGUGGGGUACAUAUUCCAAAGUUUCUCUUGUUUGAUCAGUUGCUUUUGGCUGAAGGAUUUCUGCAGACAUCUGUUCGGUUGGACGUGCGCACGUUCUCGAGUGUAAGAAAAACAAAGGUUUAUUGCCACAUUCUUGUAUAAGUAUGUAUUUGUAUAUAGGUAAUAUAUAUGUAUAUUCAAUGAGUUAAUACUUAUGAAAGGAGUUUUUCGGGAAAUCGUGUUAUCUGGCACCAACAUCUCACACACUACAGUGUCGUACAUAACAAUCGCUGGUGUUGGCUACUUUUUGUUUAAUUCAAAUGCACGGGUAAGUACAGGAAUAUCAGGA
rnacentral:sRNA from 1 species